AUUGCGCUUAUAUGUAAUUUAUCAUUUAUUUCAUUCGAAAAUAAUUCGUAUAUUUGUUAAAAAGAUUAAAUAUAUACGAAUUGCAAAUAUAAUUUGUUCAUUAAAUAACGAUGAACGUACAUUGCGAAGACAUUGCACGAUCGGACUUGAACCAUGUAUGCAGGUAUGUGUUUAGCGUGUAUGUUUCACAUGUGUGUAAUGUGUGUAAGUAUAGGUAUGUACAUUAUACACUCCCACAUUAUAAAGUAAAUAAACAGAUAAAUCUAACAGAACAGUGAAGUACGCGGAAUUAUUUGUUUUACAGAUUUUAUAUAAUCGCAUAUUUUCAAUGUACAUUUUUGAGCUUGUAUAUUGUAACAAAAUUAAGGUUAAAGAGUAUGUUUUGUACAUUCUAUCAAUUUAAGAUCUACAUAUAGUGGAUAAUCGUUUUUAUCUGUUUUAGCUAUUAUAUCCCUAAUAAGAUACACGCGUAUGCAUUGUAUAUUACUGAAAGUAGCGAUUAUGUUUAAGUACCUUGCAACUACAUAUUAUGAAUGCAAAUGAUAAUGAUUCGCAUUCGCCGCUAUUGCAUACGAUCUAGAAUAACCUCGUUUCCGGAUACUCAGAUACUUGCUUUCCUCUUUAGUAAAUCUGUCACGUUCUCCCCGUUUUGUAUAGCUGUUCUUCCGAAUUUUUAAGUUCAUUCUUUUCCGCUAGAAAGCAAUAUAUGACACAAAUAAUUUUUUUUUAGCUUAAAGAAUUGUGAAACGAUUGUUUUAUAAUGCUGAUUCUAUGGUUAUCGACACACGUAAAAAGAAAAAGAACACCCAAAAAGAUGGGUGAAGCAUCCAAUUGAUUGCAUACGAGUGCGAAGAAACGAGAUUAGUGAGUGAAUGUAGGGUAGGAAGAAGAGUGGAAAUGCUAUAUCAUCGUUCAAGUUGGAUGUACCAAAAUCGGUAUUUAUCACAAUUAAAGAUUUCUAUUAUCCUAAAAUUCAUCGAUUCCAUCGGUUUAGAAUUGAAAAUUAGAGUACGGAAAGAAGAAAGACGCGAAAAGAUAUGAAAGAGAAACGAGAUCAGUAAAUGAAUGAAAAGGAUGGAGAGAAGACGUUACGUCAUUAUUGAAAGUGCCGAUGUACCGAAAGCUCUGUCUACUUUAAUGAUAACACGAUGUGUAGCGUACAGAUGCCGUACGAUCCGGGGAAUGGUGCAGCCGGUCGUAGAGGUCGGGGUGGUUAGCGAGGAUGGGUUUAUGUGUUGCGUGAUGGUCGCCGUUUAUCGAUUCGCGGCGCGCCGGGCCGUGAGGAAUGAAGUCGCGGCUAGCUUCUAUGUCGUGCUGUAUAUUGUACACUCCUCUAUAUGUAUGUCUGUUUCACCUAAACGCACCUACGCAAAUAAGGCGCCAGCAGCGAAAGUAGCAGCGCCACGCAAUCUCGCGUUACUCGAAAUCGUUCUGGUAUCUCUGAUGUCUGUCAUGGCCCUCAAACCAUCAUUGAGUUCUGAUUUCUAACUUUCUUUGAUCGUUGAAAACAACAGGGGAAUGUUUAAAAUUCAUGAAAUUUGUAAGAACACGUUCUGAUAUACCCGUUCAAUGCGAAGAUCUAUACAUUUUCUAUCUUUUGUAGAUGUUGAAGAUUCUUAGGAUUUUAGGGAAUUGAAGAUCUUUAUAGAUUCGUAGAUUACAUCUUCUUAUCAAAAUUAUGAAUUUUUGGUACAUCUUUAUUUAUAACGAAUAAAAAAUGUAUAUACUUCGCUUUAGACAUUAACUUUAAUGUUUGUGAAUGAUAUUAUUAAUAUGAGCGAUGAAUUACAUUUUGUUUACAAGAAAACAAAAUUAUGAGAAAAAUGACGUUUGAAAGCGAUAGUUACAAUUCUUUUCGUACGUGUUGCACAAAGGACGAAAGAGAAUGAAUAAUACGUAAUUACAAACAUUGUCUAUUAAUGAAAAAGAUCGCGUGCACGGGAAGUCAAUUACCUCAGAGUGCAAACGUGAUACAUUCAAUGAAUAGUUGCAAAACUGAAUGGAACUUACCGGAAUAUGACGUAUUUUAAUUUAAUCGAAAUAUUAUGCGUAGUUUUGCAUAAAACGUACGUUCUUACCUGGAGGAUUCGAUACAGAAAAGAAUUCAUUUCAUUGUAUCCCGCUUUAAAUUCAUCUGAAUUUUAUGUAUGUAUGUAAUACACCCUCACCCAAGCGAUUCAAUUCAAGAGCGCGAUUAAAAACACAAGAUAUAAAAAAAAAAAAAAUAAAAUGGUUAUACUUUAUUAGAAUACUA